CUUUUUUUUUUUUUUUUUUUUUUUUUUUUUUUUUUUUUUUUUUUUUUC
rnacentral:ribozyme from 13 species